CUUUACUAGCAUGUGAGAUGAAUGCAUUUGUGCAGUAGUUUGAGCAUUCUUUGGCAUUGCCUUUCUUUGGGAUUGGAAUGAAAACUGACCUUUUCCAGUCCUGUGGCUACUGCUGAGUUUUCCAAAUUUGCUCUCAUAUUGAAUGCAGCACUUUCACAGCAUCAUCUUUCAGGAUUUGAAAUAGCUCAACUGGAAUUCCAUCACCUCCACUAGCUUUGUUCGUAGUGAUGCUUCCUAAGGCCCACUUGACUUCACAUUCCAGGAUGUCUGGCUCUAGGAGUCAAAUGAGAAAAUGUCACAUCCUGGUUCCUAGAGGAGCAUCAGGGCGAUACAAAUGGGAGCCGCUGAGAUAAGGAGACAAAUGGAACAGGGAGGUGGCCCUUGUGCUGCUGCCCUUUCCAGGUGCUAACUGCUCUGGACUGAGUGUCGCAGGUGGGUGAGUCAGAGCGGAAAUACUGAUAAGGAGCAACGAUCGCAGAUCAACCACCGCCUCACUCCUGGAAAGGGUCCAGGGUUUCUCCUCUGUGAAUCACUCUAAGAGAGGAAGGGCCUCUCAACUUUCGGACUUUUUUUCGGUCUCUACUUUCCGACUGCCACGUUACCUUCGUCAGGUCUCAUGCUGCUCUCCUGCCGUUCUACCAGCGUCCCUCAGAGCACCAACGUGGACCACACACGAGGCAGCAGAAACAGCUAUGACGGUGAGGAGGGUCAGAGUCCAUUUGCGCAUGCCCAGCUUGCAAGCAGCGAAACCUCUUUGCUUUGAUUUAUUUUCCUCCUUUCACUUUCCCCAGAUUUUUCGUGUGUUUAGAUUUUACUUGAAACCAUCAGAAAAAUUCACCAUGUAAAUAAAAACAAAAAAGCCAACAAAAGUCAAGAGCAAGACAAUGAUAGCACUUGUCUUAAGUGAGUAAAUGCAGAAAUACACAAAUUCUCAACAGAACAUAGGCAUUGUUCAAGAGUCAGAACAAUCUAAAGCGAUUGAUCUAGGAGUUACCGGUCAAGUAACUUUAAUCUGAUCAUGUGGCCUUUGGAGCCUGGUUUUUUUUUCUUAUUAAAAACAAAGAUGGCUUCCCUGGUAGCUCAGAUGGUAAAGCGUCUGCCUGCAAUUCGGGAGACCUGGGUUCAAUCCCCAGAUCAGGAAGAUCCCCUGGAGAAGGAAAUGGCAACCCACUCCAGUACUCUUGCCUGGAAAAUUCCACGGGUGGAGGAGCCUGGUAGGCUACAGUUCAUGGAUCACAAAGAGUUCGACACGACUGAGCAACUUCACUGGUUCACUGGAUGUUUACUGCUGCCCAGAGGUGCUGUGGAGAUCAAUUGGAAUUGCCUUUAGAAAGUCCGUAAACCCCACACAGAUGGAACUCACAAGGAUCUGCCCCUCGCAUCAUGCUGGGCACAGAGAGAUCCCUGGCCUUUGCUUAUCUCACCCCACACAAGGCCACCGGUUGGUAGUAUGCAGCAAGCUGGGAGGGCUUUCAGCAAAGCUACAUUCUACUUUGGAGUUAUGCGUACAUCUGUCA
ensembl:lncRNA